GAUGAACGCUGGCGGCGUGCCUAAUACAUGCAAGUCGAGCGAACAGACGAGGAGCUUGCUCCUCUGACGUUAGCGGCGGACGGGUGAGUAACACGUGGAUAACCUACCUAUAAGACUUGGAUAACUUCGGGAAACCAGAGCUAAUACCGGAUCAUAUAUUGAACCGCAUGGUUCAAUAGUGAAAGACGGUUUUGCUGUCACUUAUAGAUGGAUCCGCGCCGCAUUAGCUAGUUGGUAAGGUAACGGCUUACCAAGGCAACGAUGCGUAGCCGACCUGAGAGGAUGAUCGGCCACACUGGAACUGAGACACGGUCCAGACUCCUACGGGAGGCAGCAGUAGGGAAUCUUCCGCAAUGGGCGAAAGCCUGACGGAGCAACGCCGCGUGAGUGAUGAAGGUCUUCGGAUCGUAAAGCUCUGUUAUUAGGGAAGAACAGAUGUGUAAGUAACUAUGCACGUCUUGACGGUACCUAAUCAGAAAGCAACGGCUAACUACGUG
rnacentral:rRNA from 1 species